GAUGAACGCUAGCGGGAGGCUUAACACAUGCAAGUCGAGGGGCAUCACGGUGUAGCAAUACACUGGUGGCGACCGGCGCACGGGUGAGUAACGCGUAUGUAACCUACCCUGUACUGGGGGAUAGCCCGGAGAAAUCCGGAUUAAUACCCCAUAAAGAUAUUGAGAGGCAUCUUUUAAUAUUUAAAACUCAGGUGGUACGGGAUGGGCAUGCGUGACAUUAGCUAGUUGGUAAGGUAACGGCUUACCAAGGCUGCGAUGUCUAGGGGUCCUGAGAGGGUGAUCCCCCACACUGGUACUGAGACACGGACCAGACUCCUACGGGAGGCAGCAGUGAGGAAUAUUGGUCAAUGGGCGCAAGCCUGAACCAGCCAUCCCGCGUGAAGGAAGAAGGCGCUAUGCGUUGUAAACUUCUUUUCCAGGGGGCGAAUAGCUUCUACGUGUAGGGGUAUGACGGUACCCUGGGAAUAAGCAUCGGCUAACUCCGUGCCAGCAGCCGCGGU
rnacentral:rRNA from 1 species